CCUACGGGAGGCAGCAGUGAGGAAUAUUGGUCAAUGGGCGGAAGCCUGAACCAGCCAAGUAGCGUGCAGGAUGACGGCCCUACGGGUUGUAAACUGCUUUUAUACGGGAAUAACGCGCCUUACGUGUAGGGCUUUGCAUGUACCGUAUUAAUAAGGACCGGCUAAUUCCGUGCCAGCAGCCUCGGUAGUACGGAAGGUCCGGGCGUUAUCCGGAUUUAUGGGGUUUAAAGGGAGCGUAGGCCGCAUGUCAAGCGUGCUGUGAAAUGUCCGGGCCCAACCCGGGCCUUGCAGCGCGAACUGGCGUGCUUGGGUCCGCGGAAAGCAGGCGGAAUUCGUCGGGUAGCGGUGAAAUGCUUAGAUAUGACGAAGAACCCCGAUUGCGAAGGCAGCUUGCUGCAGCGGAACUGACGCUGAUGCUCGAAAGCGCGGGUAUCGAACAGGAUUAGAUACCCUUGUAGUC
rnacentral:rRNA from 1 species